rnacentral:rRNA from 1 species
AGAGUUUGAUUAUGGCUCAGGACGAACGCUGGCGGCGUGCCUAAUACAUGCAAGUCGAGCGAACUUGAGGGAGCUUGCUCCCAAAAGUUAGCGGCGGACGGGUGAGUAACACGUGGGCAACCUACCUAUAAGACUGGGAUAACUUCGGGAAACCGGAGCUAAUACCGGAUAAUUCUUUUCUACUCAUGUAGGAAAGCUAAAAGACGGUUUACGCUGUCACUUAUAGAUGGGCCCGCGGCGCAUUAGCUAGUUGGUGAGGUAACGGCUCACCAAGGCCACGAUGCGUAGCCGACCUGAGAGGGUGAUCGGCCACACUGGGACUGAGACACGGCCCAGACUCCUACAGGAGGCAGCAGUAGGGAAUCUUCCGCAAUGGACGAAAGUCUGACGGAGCAACGCCGCGUGAGUUAUGAAGGUUUUCGGAUCGUAAAACUCUGUUGUUAGGGAAGAACAAGUACGAGAGUAACUGCUCGUACCUUGACGGUACCUAACCAGAAAGCCACGGCUAACUACGUGCCAGCAGCCGCGGUAAUACGUAGGUGGCAAGCGUUGUCCGGAAUUAUUGGGCGUAAAGCGCGCGCAGGCGGUCCUUUAAGUCUGAUGUGAAAGCCCACGGCUCAACCGUGGAGGGUCAUUGGAAACUGGGGGACUUGAGUGCAGGAGAGAAGAGUGGAAUUCCACGUGCAGCGGUGAAAUGCGUAGAGAUGUGGAGGAACACCAGUGGCGAAGGCGACUCUUUGGCCUGUAACUGACGCUGAGGCGCGAAAGCGUGGGGAGCAAACAGGAUUAGAUACCCUGGUAGUCCACGCCGUAAACGAUGAGUGCUAAGUGUUAGAGGGUUUCCGCCCUUUAGUGCUGCAGUAAACGCAUUAAGCACUCCGCCUGGGGAGUACGGCCGCAACUGAAACUCAAAGGAAUUGACGGGGACCCGCACAAGCGUGGAGCAUGUGGUUUAAUUCGAAGCAACGCGAAGAACCUUACCAGGUCUUGACAUCCUCUGACAAUCCUAGAGAUAGGACUUUCCCCUUAGGGGACAGAGUGACAGGUGGUGCAUGGUUGUCGUCAGCUCGUGUCGUGAGAUGUUGGGUUAAGUCCCGCAACGAGCGCAACCCUUGUCCUUAGUUGCCAGCAUUCAGUUGGGCACUCUAAGGAGACUGCCGGUGACAAACCGGAGGAAGGUGGGGAUGACGUCAAAUCAUCAUGCCCCUUAUGACCUGGGCUACACACGUGCUACAAUGGAUGGUACAAAGGGCUGCGAGACCGCGAGGUUUAGCCAAUCCCAUAAAACCAUUCUCAGUUCGGAUUGUAGGCUGCAACUCGCCUACAUGAAGCCGGAAUCGCUAGUAAUCGUGGAUCAGCAUGCCACGGUGAAUACGUUCCCGGGUCUUGUACACACCGCCCGUCACACCACGAGAGUCUGUAACACCCGAAGUCGGUGGGGUAACCACAAGGAGCCAGCCGCCUAAGGUGGGACAGAUGAUUGGGGUGAAGUCGUAACAAGGUARCCGU